ACGCUUUUAGUGUGUUUUUUAGACAACAUUCAUUUCCCUUUUUAGGCUUGUCCACUUAGCAUCUAUAUUUUAUUGUAGUUUAUUUUCCAAAUUACCGGAAUGUUGAAACUUUUUCAAUAAAAAGAAAGCAUCGACUGCUUUGGGUUCCAGCAGCUGGAAAACCGAACAAAACCGUUUUCUGAAAGCCAAUCAGCGGUCGAUAUUUACCAACUCGGUAUCUAUUUCCGUGAAGAAGUUCAAUUUAAAGUAGGGGAAUUUCGCCUGACAUAAUCUACGAUCUACUCUACAGUCAGCAUGUGCUCUCCGUGCUACUCGUGCAACUAUUCCUGCACCACGCCCUGCAAUGGUUGCUGCUCUGGAUGUUGUGGCUGUAACGGCAAUUGCGGGGGCGGAGGCUGCUCCGCCGCCUGCUUCUGCUAUCCUAACUGUGGCGGAUGUGGACCCUGCUGUUAAGAACCUAUUCAGAAUAAAAUUUUGAUGCUAUAUCUAAUAGUUUGAUGUUAACUGUUGAAAGGAUUAAGUUGAUUUUAUUGAUUUAUAAUCAGCUUUUAUUGCAAAUGGGACAAGGCAUAUUCGACCCCAAUAAUAGAUUCUCGAUCAGAUAACCAAGCACAGAACCAUGUGUAUCUGUCCUUGCGAUCGCUCUUAACCGGAGCUAAUCUGCAAGGUUAAACUCUCGGUCAGCAUAAACAGACUUUUAAAGUAUGAUUCAUGAAAGAAAUAUGUGAGCCAUAGUAGAGCGUACAUCCAAUGCCCUUGCCAGAUGACAUUGAAUCCUUAAUAAGGAUUUGAUUGAGCGGAGCAUAUAAAGGGAUUCUUCAGAUUAUGUGCAGUUUGGUCAGAAAAAGAUGUUGGGAGAAACCCUUAAUCCUCUCUCCAUUUUUAAUGGGCUUAGCUGAUCGGACGGAACUUUAUAGAACCAAUUGCCAAUUGUUCUAUAAAGGAAGCGUUUUUAUAAUAGCAAAAUUUUCAGCGGAAUUCAGUUUACAACAACAACAACAAUUUUGGUUUAGCUACUUACCUAGCAAUAAUUCAAGGUUAGUGUUUCAUAUAACAAGAAAAAUAAAGAGUGUUGGGUUUGUAAUCUCCGAAAAAUAACCUAAUAUCCGUGAAGAAGUUCAAAUAGAAGUAUAUACUCUGUUUCUUCACCUAAAUUGGAACUACGUUAAUCAUCCUUUGACGUUAUUCAUCCUUUUUCAAGAACAAAAUCUAGGCACUACACAUAAAGUGCAACCUAUAACCC